rnacentral:rRNA from 1 species
AACGGACGAGAAGCUUGCUUCUCUGAUGUUAGCGGCGGACGGGUGAGUAACACGUGGAUAACCUACCUAUAAGACUGGGAUAACUUCGGGAAACCGGAGCUAAUACCGGAUAAUAUUUUGAACCGCAUGGUUCAAAAGUGAAAGACGGUCUUGCUGUCACUCAUAGAUGGAUCCGCGCUGCAUUAGCUAGUUGGUAAGGUAACGGCUUACCAAGGCAACGAUGCAUAGCCGACCUGAGAGGGUGAUCGGCCACACUGGAACUGAGACACGGUCCAGACUCCUGCGGGAGGCAGCAGUAGGGAAUCUUCCGCAAUGGGCGAAAGCCUGACGGAGCAACGCCGCGUGAGUGAUGAAGGUCUUCGGAUCGUAAAACUCUGUUAUUAGGGAAGAACAUAUGUGUAAGUAACUGUGCACAUCUUGACGGUACCUAAUCAGAAAGCCACGGCUAACUACGUGCCAGCAGCCGCGGUAAUACGUAGGUGGCAAGCGUUAUCCGGAAUUAUUGGGCGUAAAGCGCGCGUAGGCGGUUUUUUAAGUCUGAUGUGAAAGCCCACGGCUCAACCGUGGAGGGUCAUUGGAAACUGGAAAACUUGAGUGCAGAAGAGGAAAGUGGAAUUCCAUGUGUAGCGGUGAAAUGCGCAGAGAUAUGGAGGAACACCAGUGGCGCAGGCGACUUUCUGGUCUGUAACUGACGCUGAUGUGCGAAAGCGUGGGGAUC